UACGUAGGAGGCAAGCGUUGUCCGGAAUUACUGGGCGUAAAGCGCGUGUAGGUGGUGGGACAAGUCUGCUGUGAAAGCGCCUGGCUUAACCGGCGGAGGUCGGCGGAAACUGUCCGACUCGAGGACGGUAGGGGCAGAUGGAAUUCCCGGUGUAGCGGUGGAAUGCGUAGAUAUCGGGAAGAAUACCAGUGGCGAAGGCGUUCUGCUGGGCCGUUGCUGACACUGAGGCGCGACAGCGUGGGGAGCAAACAGG
rnacentral:rRNA from 1 species